rnacentral:rRNA from 1 species
UCCGUAGGUGAACCUGCGGAAGGAUCAUUAAAGAAUCGCCCCGUUUUUUGAAAUGGGUUCUAUUCCCAAACCGUGUAUACAUACCUUUGUUGCUUCGGCAGGCCGCCUUUUAGGCGUCGGCUCCGGCUGACUGCGCCUGCCAGAGGACCCAAACUCGUUUGUUUAGUGAUGUCUGAGUACUAUAUAAUAGUUAAACUUUCAACAACGGAUCUCUUGGUUCUGGCAUCGAUGAAGAACGCAGUGAAAUGCGAUAAGUAAUGUGAAUUGCAGAAUUCAGUGAAUCAUCGAAUCUUUGAACGCACAUUGCGCCCCUUGGUAUUCCGAGGGGCAUGCCUGUUCGAGCGUCAUUAUAACCACUCAAGCCUCGGCUUGGUCUUGGGGUUCGCGGUCUCGCGGCCCUUAAAAUCAGUGGCGGUGCCGUCUGGCUCUAAGCGUAGUAAUUCUCUCGCUAUAGGGUCCCGGUGGUUACUUGCCAGAACCCCUCAUUUUUUACGGUUGACCUCNGAUCAGGUAGGGAUACCCGCUGAACUUAAGCAUAUC